GGGGCGGACGGAUCCGCCAUUGAAGCCGUCGGAGACUCGGAGCUCCCAGACGGUCAGCGGGUCAGAGUUGUUGAGGAUAUCCGACCAAAAUCUUGGAGGCUUAAGGACGGAUCCUUCUGGCCCGACACCUCGAAUGGCGCGCUAGAUUGUCGCGGGCACGGCUGCAGCAAAGGCUCCUCGGGGAACAUCGUGAACGCGAUGCCGGACAUCAAACUCACGAGAGGUUGUGCAGCGGCCGACGGAUGCGUCGUGUUUGCUCCAAAAGAGGAGUUUUUCAACCCCUUCUCCAUGAGAGGUAUCAACGACCAUCUGAAUAGAACGGUACGCUUCGUGGAGUUCAUGUUCGACGGGAGCAAAAUCCGGGCAUACAUAAUCGAUCCCUUGAAAUCACUCGGAGAGCCUAUUUGGAGACUGUUUGGAAGGUAGAGAGAACAAUCAUGAUCGGGGAGCUGACGCACAGGUUGGAGCUCUCUUCCGAGGGACGAUUCACCUCCCUCAAUCUUCGGGACAGAUGGAUUCCAGAACGAAU